CGGGGUAUAGCGCAGCUUGGCUAGCGCGCCUGCCUUGGGAGCAGGAGGCCGCAGGUUCGAAUCCUGCUGCCCCGACCA
rnacentral:tRNA from 4 species